ensembl:lncRNA
GGGGUAGACAGGGAUAGACAGGGGAUAGACAGGGGUAGACAGGGGAUAGACAGGGGUAGACAGGGGAUAUACAGGGCAUAGACAGGGGUAGACAGGGGAUAAACAGGGAAUAGACAGGGGGUAGACAGGUUAUAGACAGGGGUAGACAGGGAUAGACAGGGGUAGACAGGGAUAGACAGGGAUAGACAGGGGGUAGACAGGGAUAGACAGGGGUAGACAGGGAUGGACUUGGAUAGACAGGGAUAGAGAAGGGAUAGACAGGGGUAGACAGGGGAUAGACAGCGGUAGACAGGGGACAGACAGGAGAUAGACAGGGGACGAAAUGGAUAGACUCUGAUAGACAGGGGUACAUAGGGAUAGACAGGGGUAACCAGGGAAUAGACAGGGGAUAGAAAGGGGUAGACUUGGAUAGACAGGGGAUAGAGAAGGGAUAGACAGCGGUAGACAGGGAUAGACAGGGGUAGACAGGGGAUAGACAGUGGAUAGACAGGGGUAGAGAAGGGAUAGACAGGGAAUAGACAGGGGAUAGACAGGGGUAGACAGGGGAUAGACAGGGGUAGACAACGGAUAGACUUGGAUAGACAGGGGAAGAAAUGGAUAGACUUGGAUAGACAGGGAUAGAGAAGGGAUAGACAGGGGUAGACAGGGAUAGACAGGGGAUAAACAGGGAAUAGACAGGGAAUAGACAGGAGAUAGACAGGGGAAGAAAUGGAUAGACUCUGAUAGACAGGGGUAAAUAGGUGAUAAACAGGGAUAGGCAGGGGAUAGACAGGGGUAGACAGGGGAUAGACAGGGGUAGACAGGGGAUAGACAGGGGAUAGACAGCAUUAUAGACAGGGGAUAGACAUGGGUAGACAGGGGAUAGACAGGGGUAGACAGGGAUAGACAGGGGAUAGACAGGGGUAGACAGGGGAUAUACAGGGGAUAGACAGGGGUAGGCAGGGGAUAGACAGGGAUAGACAGGGGUAGACAGGUGAGAGACAGGGGUAGACAGGGGAUAGACAGGGGACAGACAGAGGUAGAAACUGUUAGACACGGAUAGAUCGGAGAUAGACAGGAGAUAGACAGGGGAUAGACAGUGUUAUAGACAGGGGAUAGAAAGGUUUAUAGACAGGGGAUGGACAGGUUUAUAGACAGGGGAUAGACAGGGGAUAGACAGGGGAUAGACAAGGUUAUAGACAAGGGAUAGACAGGGUUAUAGACAGGGUUAUAAACAGGGUUAUAGACAGGGUUAUAGACAGGGUUAUAGACAGGGAUAGACAGGGUUAUAGACAGGGGAUAGACAGGGUUAUAGACAGGGUUAUAGACAGGGUUAUAGACAGGGAUAUAGACAGGGUUAUAGACAGGGUUAUAGACAGGGUUAUAGACAGGGGAUAGACAGGGUUAUAGACAGGGGAUAGACAGGG